UACGUAGGUCCCGAGCGUUGUCCGGAUUUAUUGGGCGUAAAGCGAGCGCAGGUGGUUUAUUAAGUCUGGUGUAAAAGGCAGUGGCUCAACCAUUGUAUGCAUUGGAAACUGGUAGACUUGAGUGCAGGAGAGGAGAGUGGAAUUCCAUGUGUAGCGGUGAAAUGCGUAGAUAUAUGGAGGAACAGCGGUGGCGAAAGCGGCUCUCUGGCCUGUAACUGACACUGAGGCUCGAAAGCGUGGGGAGCAAACAGG
rnacentral:rRNA from 1 species